rnacentral:rRNA from 1 species
GACGAACGCUGGCGGCGUGUUUAACACAUGCAAGUCGAACGGAAAGGUCCUGCUUUUGUGGGGUGCUCGAGUGGCGAACGGGUGAGUAACACGUGAGUAACCUGCCCUUGACUUUGGGAUAACUUCAGGAAACUGGGGCUAAUACCGGAUAGGAGCUCCUGCUGCAUGGUGGGGGUUGGAAAGUUUCGGCGGUUGGGGAUGGACUCGCGGCUUAUCAGCUUGUUGGUGGGGUAGUGGCUUACCAAGGCUUUGACGGGUAGCCGGCCUGAGAGGGUGACCGGCCACAUUGGGACUGAGAUACGGCCCAGACUCCUACGGGAGGCAGCAGUGGGGAAUAUUGCACAAUGGGCGGAAGCCUGAUGCAGCAACGCCGCGUGCGGGAUGACGGCCUUCGGGUUGUAAACCGCUUUCGCCUGUGACGAAGCGUGAGUGACGGUAAUGGGUAAAGAAGCACCGGCUAACUACGUG